rnacentral:lncRNA from 1 species
CAGAGUGUCUGCUGGUGAAACUGCAUUAGUUCAUUUAGCACAGCACACUCUGUAGCAGUUCUUUUGCUGGCAUAGAUCAGCCACAUCUCCAGAAAAUGUGAGCUGCCAGAAGCACUCAUGUGUUACAUUAGCAAAGAAGAGGUUAUUGAUGGAGCUGCAUUAACCUGGAGGAGGAACAGGACAGGCAGCUCAGUGCCCCUCAAGUGAAAGGUGGCAUCUAUGUGGAACAUGCAGCCGUGUGAGAUGCAGAAACCUGGCUUCUGAGGAGAGAAGGUGGAUGGAAACACUGUUGUUCUGUUCAUGGCAUGGUCAAAGAUCCUUUGCUGGAAAUGGCUUUUUAUUAUCUAGAAGGGCCCUUUCCAGCUGCAAAGAAUACAAAGAAUUCAGCUGACCAUAAGUUGAAAGGAUUUGCAGAUCCCAAGAUGCCAAGUCUUCUGAUGUCCACAGACAGCCCUCAAAACUUCCUCACUCCUCUCUCAUUGGAAGCGUUUGGAAGGCUCAGGCUGGUGGAGCACAGACAAGGUCCCUUCUUUCUUUUUCUCACACGGCAACCCAAGUGAUGGUGAAACCAAGGAGCUGAAAAAGGUG